GCGAGUAAGGGAGACACCAGGAGAGGGAAAAUCGGCGAAGCACGUGUCGUGUUGACCCCAACGGUUUCCCAUCACCGGCAAGCAUUUGCAUGGAGGUAUCGGUUUCCGAUGAUCGAACGACAUUGAAUCAACUCUCAUCCCCGUGAUCAACGGUCCUCCCGGCGUUCCUGGCGUCGGCGGAGCCGUCACCGCCACCGCACCCAUUUCAGCCUCCGGCGGAGACAUCCUAAUCUUUUCGGGAGAAGAAAAUGGAUCUGGGACGUUAAUUUACAUGCUUGUAAGGAUUUUUAUGAAGCUGUUACUACGUAAGAAGAAGAAUAUGAACGAAGAUAGCCACCUCAAAAAACCAAAUUCAGAAACCGAAUCAUAUAAAAAGCAAAGACGACACACAUAUGGAUGCGUACGUUAGCACUGAACAAAGACUAAUUCUCGAAUCUGUGGUUCUGAAAGAAAAGAAAAAUAGAGAGAUGUAUGAAAGGUUUGGUUAAUGCUCGAGCUUAAGUUAUAUUUAUAUGUGUGUGUGUUUAUAUAGAAAAGAGAUUGUUAUGCAUUGAACCCAAAAAGAUCAAUAAUAAAAAGUCAACUCCAAUAACAGUUCA